rnacentral:snoRNA from 1 species
AGCCCAUGGUGAGGGCACCUUCUCAAGAGGUCCUUGUAUCUCUCCCAUGCAUCAUAGAGUGUUUCUAGAUCCACUUGCACAAAAGAAGAUAUAUCAUUCCUUAAUUU